AGGGAAUUGCCAAUGUCCGAGCCUUGAGCUGAUGCUGAGCCCGGCGACAAUCACCGAGGUGUCUCGUAUCGUCUACCACGGGUUCGCUUUCGUCCCGGUGCCCACCUCGGCCGCCGCGACAUUGCACCUGGCGCUUGCCUCGCAGGUGAUUCCGGGAACACCUCCCACGUGUCGCCUUCAUCAAUGGGGCACCUGUCACCUUGUCCUUCCAGAAUGUGGACAGUCAGUAGAGAAUUGUAUGCGUGUCCUACCUGGGUCAGUUCACCUCAGAGGCAGGGAUUGAACUGCAGUCAGAUGCACAUCCACAACCCCUUCUGCUGGAGAAUGACAUGUCAUCCCUACAUGCCAGUGUGGAGCUCCCCUGUCUCCCCUCCCUCCCCAGGGCCCGAGGGUGCCCCUGCCCCCUGUCUGCUACUGGAGGAGGACCAGGAACCACUGGAGUCUCAUACACAGAUUGAGCCAAAGAAACGUAAAGGUGGCUGGCCAAAGGGAAAGAAGAGGCAACCUCCGAGAGAGUUAACUGUCCCCAGAGUUCCAACAACAGGGAGGACUCUUGGGAGGCUCUUGGGAGGCCCUCACAGCUUUGUGUGUGUUUCUGCUCAGAGGAGUUUGAGAAGGACAGAGGCAGCCGGCAGCAGGCUCCAGGGAUGGAGAGAAGCCCUGUGGGUGAGGAAGAGGAGGCAGAGUUGGCUCGUACGUUGGGUCUGUCCUCGCUGGACAUCAGUGUGCUGCAGGAGCUGCUGCUCAGACACAUACUGACCAGCACUGACCACUAUUUGCCAUGACCACAUUCAUGACUUGGACAAAGCCAAUUUCUAAAAUGGCUGAAGCUGCGGAUCUAUAGCUAACCUCCCCGUCUCGUCUGCCUGGAUCUGUUUUCCCCAGAGCUGAAGACCCGAAUCACGUUCUGCGCAUGUUUUCUUACCUAAAUUUAGAUCUUCUUGAGUUAUACAGUGUUGUUUUGAAUUAUGGACAGUGAGCGAACUUUAGAGCAGUUGGUGGAAACAAUCUGUCGCAUAGUCUACCUGUGUUUAGUUUCUAUCACAGCACAUAUUUUGCCUAGUGGCGCAGGCUAUUGAGUUUUUGCCAAAAAUGUGACCAUUUGCACAAACAACCUGAAGUUCUUAAGAAAUUUGAUUGUUUUCUGUCUUACAGUAACCUUAUACUAUGCUAUUAUGUUUGGUUAUGUUACAUGGAAUCAAUACGUGAUCUUGCAGACAUUGAUUCAGCUUUGAUAUAACUUUAUUAAACAAAUACCAUUUAUGUCAGACUAGCCUGAUCUCUACAAGACUGUGCGACCAUUAGAGGAUCCCGCACAUGCACAGAAGUCGUGAAGAGGGCUCGACAAAACCUACUCCCCCUCAGGAGACUAAAAAGAUUUGGCAUGGGUCCUCAGAUCCUCAAAAGGUUCUACAGCUUCACCAUCGAGAGCAUCACUGCCUGGUAUGGCAACUGUUCGGCCUCCGACCGCAAGGCACUACAGAGGGUAGUGCGUACGGCCCAUUACAUCACUGGGGCAAAGCUUCCUGCCAUCCAGGACUUCUAUACCAGGCGGUGUUAGAGGAAGGCCCUAAAAAAUUGUCAAAGACUCGAGCCACCCUGGAGUAGACUGUUCUCUCUGCUACAGCACAGCAAGCGGUACCGGAGCAUCAAGUCUAGGUCCAAGAGGCUUCUAAACAGCUUCUACCACCAAGCCAUAAGACUCCUGAACAUCUAAUCAAAUGGCUACCCAGACUAUUUGCAUUGCCCACCCCCCACCCCCAUCCCCUCUUUUACCCCGCUGCUACUCUCUGUUAUUAUCUAUGCAUAGUCACUUUAAUAACUCUACCUACAUGUACAUAUUACCUCAAUUACCUUGAUUAACCGGUGCCCCUGCACAGGUACCCAUCUGUAUAUAGUCUUGCUUUUGUUAUUUUACUGCUGCUCUUUAAUUACUUGUUACUUUUAUUUCUUAUUCUUAUUUUUUAUUAUUAUAUAUAUAUUUUUUAACUGCAUUGUUGGUUAGGAGCUUGUAAAUAAGCAUUUCACUGUUGUAUUCGGCUGAUGUGACAAAUACAAUUUGAUUUGAAGCUUCAGGAACUUUAGUGUUGGAAAGAGGGGUCCAGGAAAGUUGGAUCUGCAGCCACUCCGUUCUAACAACCACACUGAAACACUGUCUUUAUUCCUGCACCUCUCUCUCAGUGAGGGACUUUGAGUUGCAGCUCUUGGGAGUGUUUCUGGCCCAGGAGAGGCGGAGCCAAGAUCAGCUGAGGGCGGAGCUAAACAACCUGCAGCUGGGGUUAUGCUCAGGUCAAGGAC
ensembl:lncRNA